rnacentral:lncRNA from 1 species
GAGCAGCUGCGCCACCGGCUCAGCCUCGCGGCGGGGGAAACCCGAGCUCCCAACAAAACGGUUCCAUCUUUGGCUAGGCCUUUGGCACCAAAGAAGGCCCAGAGAGGUUUAACAACUUCCUCAGAAUCACACAGCUUCCAAAUGGUUGGGUUGGGUUUACAUUUAGGCGGUCUUGCUCCAGAGCCAGUGCUCCUAACCUUUGCAAGCCACGAACCUCAAGAAAGUGGAGAAGGAAACGCUGGGAAAUCUGGAAGUCAGACAUGGCAAAGAGCUAAUGCUGGCAGCUGUUGGGAUGUCCUCUUCCAGGAAUGGUGAUGAGUUUCCCUGGAUCCAGCCCUGGCUUGGCUGAGAUGAUGAAGGUUUAAGAAGCAGCAUCAUCAGCGAACUGUGUUUUGAAGAUUUGAGGGAAGGGCUGACCUCAGGAUUUUAUACUAGGUAUUUGAUGCAAUGCAGACUGGAAUCCUCCCCACAAGGAUGCCCUGGCCUGAGUGGCACAGAGAUCAAUGCAGCAGUCAUUUCCUGGGCGGGGAAAGCCCAUCCACAGUGGCCCUGGAAUGAUGCUGGUCUUACCUUCUAUUCCUAGGAAGGCCCUAUCUCAAGUGGCUCUGGUCCAUGCAAACAGAUGGAAACGGGUGUGGGGAAGCACAGGCCUCCUACUCAUGUUAAGAGAGCUGCUCAGAGGCAGGAAUCCAGAACCAGGAAUGUCCCCAGUGGCUGCCCAAGGUACAAGUGGCAGGCAGCGGGGAGAAUGGCAUGUGAAGUCAUUUGUAACCUGGCCCCAGCUUGGUUUCCAAGUCUCAGAGGAGAUUAUGGAUAUGGUAGUGCCUGGCUCAGUGCUUAAAAUCCAUUCUCCUGCUAUUUCCCUCACCUACACUCAGCCCCACAAGCCGAGAUGUUUGCUGGACAUUUCAGGCACUGCCACCCAGUUCUGUCUACCUUACCUGCUAACACCUGUUGACCAUCCUUCAUGUGAAGGCUUCCCCAAAUACUUCCCAAUCAAAACACUAAAAGGCAGACCUGAAAUUAAUAAAAAUGUUAAUUAAAUCUGUACAACAGAAAGC